rnacentral:rRNA from 1 species
AUUGAACGCUGGCGGCAGGCCUAACACAUGCAAGUCGAGCGGAGCGGCGGACGGGUGAGUAAUGCCUAGGAAUCUGCCUGGUAGUGGGGGAUAACGUCAGGUAACGGGCGCUACUACCGCAUACUCUCAGAUGAGCCUAGGGCGGAUUAGCUAGUGGUUGGGGUAAAGGCCUACAAAGGCGACGAUCCGUAACUGGUCCGAGAGGAUGAGCAGUCAAACUGGAACUUAGACACGGUCCAGACUCCUACGGGAGGCAGCAGUGGGGAAGAUUGGACAAUGGGCGAAAGCCUGAUCCAGCCAUGCCGCGUGUGUGAAGAAGGUCUUCGGAUUGUAAAGCACUUUCAGUUGGGAGGCGUUACCAACAGAAGAAGCACCGGCUAACUUCGUGCCAGCAGCCGCGGUAAUAC